AACGAACGCUGGCGGCAGGCUUAACACAUGCAAGUCGAGCGCCCCGCAAGGGGAGCGGCAGACGGGUGAGUAACGCGUGGGAAUCUACCCAUCUCUACGGAACAACUCCGGGAAACUGGAGCUAAUACCGUAUACGUCCUUUUGGAGAAAGAUUUAUCGGAGAUGGAUGAGCCCGCGUUGGAUUAGCUAGUUGGUGGGGUAAUGGCCUACCAAGGCGACGAUCCAUAGCUGGUCUGAGAGGAUGAUCAGCCACACUGGGACUGAGACACGGCCCAGACUCCUACGGGAGGCAGCAGGGGGGAAUAUUGGACAAUGGGCGAAAGCCUGAUCCAGCCAUGCCGCGUGAGUGAUGAAGGCCCUAGGGUUGUAAAGCUCUUUCAACGGUGAAGAUAAUGACGGUAACCGUAGAAGAAGCCCCGGCUAACUUCGUGCCAGCCGCCGCAGUAACAC
rnacentral:rRNA from 1 species